rnacentral:rRNA from 1 species
GACGAACGCUGGCGGCGUGCUUAACACAUGCAAGUCGAACGGAAAGGCCCUGCUUUUGUGGGGUGCUCGAGUGGCGAACGGGUGAGUAACACGUGAGUAACCUGCCCUUGACUUUGGGAUAACUUCAGGAAACUAGGGCUAAUACCGGAUAGGAGCUCCUGCUGCAUGGUGGGGGUUGGAAAGUUUCGGCGGUUGGGGAUGGACUCGCGGCUUAUCAGCUUGUUGGUGGGGUAGUGGCUUACCAAGGCUUUGACGGGUAGCCGGCCUGAGAGGGUGACCGGCCACAUUGGGACUGAGAUACGGCCCAGACUCCUACGGGAGGCAGCAGUGGGGAAUAUUGCACAAUGGGCGGAAGCCUGAUGCAGCAACGCCGCGUGCGGGAUGACAGCCUUCGGGUUGUAAACCGCUUUCGCCUGUGACGAAGCGUGAGUGACGGUAAUGGGUAAAGAAGCACCGGCUAACUACGUG